rnacentral:rRNA from 1 species
AUUGAACGCUGGCGGCAGGCCUAACACAUGCAAGUCGAACGAGUGGCGGACGGGUGAGUAAUGUCUGGGAACCUGCCCGAUGGAGGGGGAUAACUACUGGAAACGGUAGCUAAUACCGCAUACCAUCGGAUGUGCCCAGAUGGGAUUAGCUAGUUGGUGGGGUAAUGGCGCACCUAGGCGACGAUCCCUAGCUGGUCUGAGAGGAUGACCAGCCACACUGGAACUGAGACACGGUCCAGACUCCUACGGGAGGCAGCAGUGGGGAAUAUGGCACAAUGGGGGCAAGCCUGAUGCAGCCAUGCCGCGUGUAGGAAGAAGGCCUUCGGGUUGUAAAGUACUUGCAGCGGGGAGGCGUUACCCGCAGAAGAAGCACCGGCUAACUCCGUGCCAGCAGCCGCGGUAAUUC